CAUGGACAGUCUAGAGCAGGAGACACCUGACUGACUCUCACUUUUACAAGAGUUCAUGAGAAUUCAACCCCAUCCAGACUUCAGUUUCAGGAGCAGAGAAAGCCUUUUGUGUGAACCUGGAAGAGGCAGGGCAGAUGGAAGGGACUGGAUGUAAAAGGGCUUAGAACUGAAGAGGAAGAAGAGCUGGCACCUGGGAACUACCAGGCACUUAGAGAAGGUAGAGACAGUAUUUAAAGUUCCAAAGGGGAAAGCCUCCACCUUCACCUGCCAGGAUACGGGUGCCAGAACCACCGGUGGGUGGCCUGUCA
ensembl:lncRNA